rnacentral:lncRNA from 1 species
GCCCUUCACCCCAGGUGAGAAAGGAGCCUUGAGGAAGGGGAGAGGACCCGAGUUCGUGGCCUCUCCCAUUCUGAGGGUCAGCCCCGAGCAGGGCGGGCCGCUGCGUCUUGGAGUUCCUGUUGCCUGUGCCCUUGAUGGGUGGCCUGCAGGGGAGGCAGCCGCACUGGGUUGGCUGUGAUCCUGGGACAGCCGCAGUCCUGGGGCAGCCGCGUUCGGGCAGGCGGCACUUAGGAAAGACAAACUCUAAAACCCAGGGGUCCAAAGGACCCAUGGGAAGGACAGGUGGCUCAGGGGAGUGACCUCGCUGCUUGGCCAGCGCUUUGAGGCCCCGGGGACCCAACGGAGAGGGCCCGGGUGAGGCAUCUGGAGGCGCUGAGCGGGACCAGGAGCUGCGGGACCUGCAGAGGGCGCCCGCCCGUGUGGGCGCAGCAGCGCCUGGAGGGAGACGGCCCCGGCCGCCCGCAGGGGUCAGGCUCUGCUGCAGGUGGGGGUGGGGGGUCCCUGUCUCGGCCUCCCAGCCCAGGCUGGGUCUCUUUGCCCAGGUUGGGCGGGGCCGAUGGCCGUUGGAAGCCCCGUCUCCACGGAGACCCGAGGCCGCCAGACCGCCUGUCAGGGGCUGCCCUGGAGCCUGGCACCUUACCCUUGCACCCUGUCUGCCCCUCGGGGGCCAUGCUGUCCACGCUGACCCUGACUCGAGACAUUGGGAUGCCUGUCCACGCCUCCACUCCUGGGCCACUUCCCCGUGGGCUGCAGGUAGGGGCCAGGCAAGAUGUCCACACUGCCGUGGCUUCAAAGGCAUCCUAUCCCAAGGGGUGAACUGAAGGACAGCCUGGAGCUUCCUGGAGACCAGAGGGCCCCUCCACCCUACCUGGAGCAACGCCAGAGCCUGGACUAUUUCCUGCAGCACUUCUCCCCUGCCCUGCUCUAUUUUAUCUUUUUUAAUAAAGAUGACUCCUGAUAAACG